UCUCACUUGACUUAACUGUAUGUUCCACGAAUGGUAUGGCACAUACAGUACCUUAGUCUUGAGCAGCCAAACAGCAGCUAACCGCUUCCUUUUCUCUGCUCCUCCACCACAAAUACAUUUAAAACUUGAUGGUGAAGUUCCAGUCUGACUUUUUCUGUCUUCAUGUCAUCAUGUUCAGCCUAAACCAAGCAGCUCUGCUCUUCAUUCAACUAUUACUUACAUACCAAGUCUUUGCAGGGACUCAUCCAUUUGACCACAGGGAUGUACUGGUGUCCAGGGGAGACUCCGUCAUGUUCACUUGCAACAUAUCCAAUGCAAAUACAACGCAAAUCAGCUGGACCAAAGGCAGAUCUGUUUUUGCUUAUUCAAUCUUACACAAUCUGACUUUUUCAAAUUUCACCUCUCACAGACUGAGAAUAGACCUAAACUUACCUUCAAAGCUGAAUAUUUUUAAUGCUCAGCAUGACGAUGCAGGACUCUAUGUAUGUAAUGUGGCUGGUAAACGUGGUCCAGCGACUACUGAGUGGAAUUUAACGGUGUCUGAGAAACCUGAAGAAAUCAGUCCAUCGUGGUAUUUUCUGUACAUACUCACACCUGCAAUUGGAUUUCUUCUAUGUGGCUUCACUCCAGCUGUCUG